rnacentral:rRNA from 1 species
AUUGAACGCUGGCGGCAUGCCUUACACAUGCAAGUCGAACGGCAGCACGGGUGCUUGCACCUGGUGGCGAGUGGCGAACGGGUGAGUAAUAUAUCGGAACAUGUCCUGUAGUGGGGGAUAGCCCGGCGAAAGCCGGAUUAAUACCGCAUACGAUCUACGGAUGAAAGCGGGGGACCUUCGGGCCUCGCGCUAUAGGGUUGGCCGAUGGCUGAUUAGCUAGUUGGUGGGGUAAAGGCCUACCAAGGCGACGAUCAGUAGCUGGUCUGAGAGGACGACCAGCCACACUGGGACUGAGACACGGCCCAGACUCCUACGGGAGGCAGCAGUGGGGAAUUUUGGACAAUGGGCGAAAGCCUGAUCCAGCAAUGCCGCGUGUGUGAAGAAGGCCUUCGGGUUGUAAAGCACUUUUGUCCGGAAAGAAAUCCUUGGCCCUAAUACGGUCGGGGGAUGACGGUACCGGAAGAAUAAGCACCGGCUAACUACGUG